GCAAAGAUAGCUUAACAGGCAAAGCAAAGCACUGAAAAUGCUAACAUAAAGGUUCGAGUCCUUUUCCUAGCA
rnacentral:tRNA from 1 species